rnacentral:rRNA from 1 species
GACGAACGCUGGCGGCGUGCUUAACACAUGCAAGUCGAACGCUGAACCCGCUUCGGUGGGGGAUGAGUGGCGAACGGGUGAGUAACACGUGGGCAACCUGCCCCCGGCUCUGGGAUAACUCCAAGAAAUUGGGGCUAAUACCGGAUGUGACCGCUGGCCGCAUGGUCUGGUGGUGGAAAGGGUUUCCGGCUGGGGAUGGGCCCGCGGCCUAUCAGCUUGUUGGUGGGGUAGUGGCCUACCAAGGCGACGACGGGUAGCCGGCCUGAGAGGGUGACCGGCCACACUGGGACUGAAACACGGCCCAGACUCCUACGGGAGGCAGCAGUGGGGAAUAUUGCGCAAUGGGCGGAAGCCUGACGCAGCGACGCCGCGUGGGGGAUGACGGCCUUCGGGUUGUAAACCUCUUUCAGCAGGGACGAAGCGCAAGUGACGGUACCUGCAGAAGAAGCACCGGCCAACUACGUG